ACGGCCAGUUUUAGUGUCAUCAAUAACUUUUACUAUGAAACAUUUAUUGCGGGUGUAGUAAGGCACCAAAAACAAGAAUUACAAGAAUUACAAGGCAUUACAAUACAGAGAGCCUGGAGGUGAAGGCUGCAUGAUGGAGGAACACAACACACACCAGAUUAUCUUCCAAGGCAUUUGCUUUCAGGACCAAGUCUAUGAAUCCAAAUCAUUUCCAUUGUGCUUGGUAUAGAGAUGCAUCUUCAACCACUGGGUUUCAAUUGCUAGAAUGUUGCAGUAUGCUCACAGGGUAAUAAUGAGCAUAUUGUAGCAGCCCAGGAAUGAAUGCAUAUUCCAGAUGUACUGUAGGUUUGUAUUUCAUUGUCUAAGAAGAAACGCCAUCAAAACUUAUGUGAAAAAUAAUAAACCAACCUUCAUUCGA